GGCGGAUAUUAUAGUAUCUCACGCUCACACGCGACGAAAGGAUACCAUGCACGCUCUUAAAGAACAUGGCGUUCGCGAGCUGUUGUUUGUAAUUUCGUACAGGCGUGUACAGAUUUCUUAAUUUACUGUAACCAAAAAUUUUUAAGACGUACGUUACCUUCAAUAAUCCAAAGAAUACAUGCUCAAAUAUUUUAAAGAGAAAACGUCAAAACACAG